UGGCGGACGGGUGAGUAACGCGUGGGUAACCUGCCUUGUACUGGGGGACAACAGUUAGAAAUGACUGCUAAUACCGCAUAAGCGCACAGUAUCGCAUGAUACGGUGUGAAAAACUCCGGUGGUACAAGAUGGACCCGCGUCUGAUUAGCUAGUUGGUAAGGUAACGGCUUACCAGGGCGACGAUCAGUAGCCGACCUGAGAGGGUGACCGGCCACAUUGGGACUGAGACACGGCCCAA
rnacentral:rRNA from 1 species